UACGUAGGGUGCGAGCGUUAAUCGGAAUUAUUGGGCGUAAAGAGCUCGUAGGCGGUUUGUCGCGUCUGCUGUGAAAACCUAAGGCUCAACCUUGGGCUUGCAGUGGGUACGGGCAGACUAGAGUGCGGUAGGGGUGACUGGAAUUCCUGGUGUAGCGGUGGAAUGCGCAGAUAUCAGGAGGAACACCGAUGGCGAAGGCAGGUCACUGGGCCGCAACUGACGCUGAGGAGCGAAAGCAUGGGGAGCGAACAGG
rnacentral:rRNA from 1 species